rnacentral:rRNA from 1 species
CUCGUAGGCGGUUUGUCGCGUCGUCUGUGAAAUUCUGCAACUCAAUUGCAGGCGUGCAGGCGAUACGGGCAGACUUGAGUACUACAGGGGAGACUGGAAUUCCUGGUGUAGCGGUGAAAUGCGCAGAUAUCAGGAGGAACACCGGUGGCGAAGGCGGGUCUCUGGGUAGUAACUGACGCUGAGGAGCGAAAGCGUGGGAGCGAACG